rnacentral:tRNA from 1 species
GGAGAGGUGGCAGAGCGGUUGAAUGCGGCGGUCUCGAAAACCGUUAAAGGUGCAAGCCUUUCGGGGGUUCGAAUCCCCCCCUCUCCGCCA